GACAGCGUGGACGAAAGUUGGUUUUUUCUUCGGACACUUCUUCAAGGUGCUGCAUGGUUGUCGUCAGCUCGUGCCGUGAGGUGUCGGGUUUAAGUCCCCAUAACGAGCGCAAACCCCUUUACUGUUAGUUGCCAGCGGGUCAAGCCGGGAACUCUAACGGGACUGCCACCGUAAGGUGAGAGGAAGGUGGGGAUGACGUCAAAUCAGCACGGCCCUUAUGUCCAGGGCUACACACGUGUUACAAUGGUCGGUACAAAGGGCAGCUACACCGCGAGGUGAUGCUAAUCUCUAAAGCCGGUCUCAGUUCGGAUCGAAGUCUGCAACCCGACUUCGUGAAGUUGGAUUCGCUAGUAAUCGCGCAUCAGCCAUGGCGCGGUGAAUACGUUCCCGGGCCUU
rnacentral:rRNA from 1 species